GGAAUCUUCCACAAUGGACGAAAGUCUGAUGGAGCAACGCCGCGUGAGUGAAGAAGGUUUUCGGAUCGUAAAGCUCUGUUGUUGGUGAAGAAGGAUAGAGGCAGUAACUGGUCUUUAUUUGACGGUAAUCAACCAGAAAGUCACGGCUAACCACGUGCCAG
rnacentral:rRNA from 1 species